GACGAACGCUGGCGGCGUGCUUAACACAUGCAAGUCGAACGGAAAGGCCCUGCUUUUGUGGGGUGCUCGAGGGGCGAACGGGUGAGUAACACGUGAGUAACCUGCCCUUGACUUUGGGAUAACUUCAGGAAACUGGGGCUAAUACCGGAUAGGAGCUCCUGCUGCAUGGUGGGGGUUGGAAAGUUUGGGCGGUUGGGGAUGGACUCGCGGCUUACCAGCUUGUUGGUGGGGUAGUGGCUGACCAAGGCUUUGACGGGUAGCUGGCCUGGGAGGGUGACCGGGCCCAUUGGGACUGGGAGACGGCCCAGACUCCUACGGGAGGCAGCGGUGGGGACUCUUGCACAGUGGGCGGACGCCUGAUGCAGGGACGCCGCGUGCGGGAUGACGGCCUUCGGGUUGUAAACCGCUUUCGCCUGUGACGAAGCGUGAGUGACGGUAAUGGGUAAAGAAGCACCGGCUAACUACGUG
rnacentral:rRNA from 1 species